AAUAAUAAUAAUAUAAUAAUAAUUAUAAUAAUAAACAAUAUAAACAAUAUAAUAAAAAUAAACUAAAAAAAACAAAUUAAGGACUAAAUUAAAAUGCCAAACAGAAGUUGAGAGCUAAAUUUGAAAAUAUAAACAAGAAAGGGAGUAAAUUUAAACAGGUGCAAUAGAUAAAGGACAGAAAGAGCAAUUUUCCAACCCGCCCUAAAGCGCUGCACACUAUUGGACCAAUUUGAAACAAAAAUAAAAUGUGCAGUAAAAUUUAAAAGAGAUAAAUUGAAAAACACCCUAAAAUCAUGAGGACUAAUUGCGAAAAUAGCCCUUUUUGAACCCUUAUAAAAUCCCAUUUUUAAAACCCUAAAGUCAUUCCCUUUCUCUGACAUUUGAAGUUGCGUUGUAGCUUCCUAUCUUCUCAGCCAUUCAAGCCUUAUUUCCGACCAGCAACGGCGAUAUGAGGGCACUCCGACGACACCCCAACGGUGGAAUCGGCGUUAUGCGGAGUUGCUGAUCGUGGGUGAAACGACGUGGGUGAUGGACGGUUGCUGCAACGUGGGAACGUGCGGCGCUGAGGCUACCUGCUGCUUAGGGCUUCUGUUAUCUUAGGCCAAUUGGGCCUUGUAAUUGGGUUAGGUUGUAAUUUGGCCUUUAGGUCAGUUUUAGUGAGUAUAGUUGGGCCCGAGCAAUAAUUGGGUAUUACAAUAACAUUAGUAUUUUACCGCAAAAAGAAUAUUAUAGUAAGUCAACGAAAUAAUUAACAGAAA